CAGAGCCGCACCGCGAGGAGGGGCUUGGAGCUGGAGGGGUACAUACGGCACGAGGAAUGAGAACAGAAGGAACGGCUGAAGAUAAGUGGAAGAAUAUUCUCAGCUGCAGUGCACUUAUCAGGACCAGGGGGUCACCACAGACACGGCACCGGC